rnacentral:misc_RNA from 1 species
UCAUAGCCCUGAUUGCAGCGAUUGUCUGAGCUCAUUUUAUUUAGUUUCGGCUGUGGCGGCGAAGCCGCCACAGCCGAAACUAAAUAAAAUAGCGAGUGCGGAAAGCCGGAUAAAGC